UUGAACGCUGGCGGAAUGCUUUACACAUGCAAGUCGAGCGGCAGCGCGGGGCAACCUGGCGGCGAGCGGCGAACGGGUGAGUAAUGCAUCGGAACAUGUCCCGUCGUGGGGGAUAGCCCGGCGAAAGCCGGAUUAAUACCGCAUACGUCCGAGAGGAGAAAGUGGGGGACCGCAAGGCCUCACGCGAUUGGGUUGGCCGAUGUCCGAUUAGCUAGUUGGUGGGGUAAAGGCUCACCAAGGCGAUGAUCGGUAGCUGGUCUGAGAGGAUGAUCAGCCACACUGGGACUGAGACACGGCCCAGACUCCUACGGGAGGCAGCAGUGGGGAAUUUCGGACAAUGGGGGCAACCCUGAUCCAGCCAUGCCGCGUGCGGGAAGAAGGCCUUCGGGUUGUAAACCGCUUUUAGUCGGGAAGAAAAGGCGCCGGUGAAUAGCCUGCGUUCUUGACGGUACCGGCGGAAUAAGCACCGGCUAACUACGUGCCAGCAGCCGCGGUAAUACGUAGGGUGCGAGCGUUAAUCGGAAUUACUGGGCGUAAAGCGUGCGCAGGCGGUUCGUUGUGUCCGAUGUGAAAGCCCCGGGCUUAACCUGGGAAUGGCAUUGGAAACUGGCGAGCUUGAGUGCGGCAGAGGGGGGUGGAAUUCCGCGUGUAGCAGUGAAAUGCGUAGAGAUGCGGAGGAACACCGCUGGCGAAGGCAGCUGCCCUGGACCGGCCACUGACGCUGAGGCACGAAAGCGUAGGGGAGCAAACAGGAUUAGAUACCCUGGUAGUCCUACGCCCUAAACGAUGGAUACUGGCUGUGGGGGGUAGCCAAUCCCCCCGUGGCGAAGCUAACGCAUUAAGUAUCCCGCCUGGGGAGUACGGUCGCAAGUCUGAAACUCAAAGGAAUUGACGGGGGCCCGCACAAGCGGUGGAGCAUGUGGUUCAAUUCGACGCAACGCGAAGAACCUUACCUGGGCUUGAAGUGGGGCGGAAGGGGGCUGAGAGGCCCCGUUCCCUUCGGGGACUGCCCCAGAGGUGCUGCAUGGCUGUCGUCAGCUCGUGUCGUGAGAUGUUGGGUUAAGUCCCGCAACGAGCGCAACCCUUGUCCUUAGUUGCUAACGGGAAAGCCGAGAACCCUAAGGAAACUGUCGGCGAUAAGCCGGAGGAAGGCGGGGAUGACGUCAAGUCCUCAUGGCCUUUAUGUCCAGGGCUACACACGUGCUACAAUGGGCGCCACAAAGGGCCGCAAACCUGCAAAGGGGAGCCAAUCCCAGAAAAGCGCCCUCAGUACGGAUUGGAGUCUGCAACCCGACUCCAUGAAGCUGGAAUCGCUAGUAAUCGCGGAUCAGCAUGCCGCGGUGAAUACGUUCCCGGGCCUUGUACACACCGCCCGUCACAUCACGAAAGCCGGCUGUACUAGAAGUCCCCGAGCCGACCCUCACGGGGGGCAGGGGCCCAAGGUAUGGCGGGUGAUUGGGGUG
rnacentral:rRNA from 1 species